ACGUAGGGGGCAAGCGUUGUCCGGAAUUAUUGGGCGUAAAGGGCGCGUAGGCGGAUAGUUAAGUCCGGUGUGAAAGAUCAGGGCUCAACCCUGAGAGUGCAUCGGAAACUGGUUAUCUUGAGGACAGGAGAGGAAAGUGGAAUUCCACGUGUAGCGGUGAAAUGCGUAGAUAUGUGGAGGAACACCAGUGGCGAAGGCGACUUUCUGGACUGUAACUGACGCUGAGGCGCGAAAGCGUGGGGAGCAAACAGG
rnacentral:rRNA from 1 species